CUCAAGGGGAUUUUCGUGAAAACAACUGUUAAUUUUAUUGCAUAUAAGCAAAAAUGCACAAAGUCCUGAUUAACGUUUCGACCCCUACAUUGGUCUUUCUCAAGACAUUUCUACAAGGUUAACAAAAGCACUGGAAGAGUUAAAUGUUUAAAUUAGCACAAACAACAUGUGCCUGUCAAUCAAAAUGUAUACAAGGCACACUUCACUUAACCCUGAAUAUAGUCAUAGACCGGGCUAAUAAUUAUCUGCUGACCAUACAGAACAUUACAUCAUAUAUCAGGGGACAUGUUAAAGAACCUUUUUGGGAAAUUUCACAGCAUGUGUGGGCCUCUCUUUGGAGGAAGAAAUAACUAUAUAAACUGUAGAAGACAGUUAGAAUGUGUCAUCCAAUCAUUCUCCAUCAUUCCUCCGUCAUUCAUUCAAUCAUUCUCCAUCAUUCCUCCGUCAAUCAUUCAAUCAUUCUCCAUCAUUCAUUCAAUCAUUCUCCAUCAUUCAUUCAAUCAUUCUCCAUCAUUCCUCCGUCAUUCAUUCAAUCAUUCUCCAUCAUUCCUCCGUCAAUCAUUCAAUCAUUCUCCGUCAUUCAUUCAAUCAUUCUCCAUCAUUCCUCCGUCAUUCAUUCAAUCAUUCUCCGUCAUUCCUCCAUCAUUCAUUCAAUCAUUCUCAGUCAUUUAUUCAAUCAUUCUCCAUCAGUCCUCCAUCAUUCAUUCAAUCAUUCUCCGUCAUUCAUUCAAUCAUUCUCCAUCAUUCCUCCGUCAUUCAUUCUAUCAUUCUCCGUCAUUCAUCCAAUCAUUCUCCAUCAUUCCUCCGUCAUUCAUUCAAUCAUUCUCCGUCAUUCAUUCAAUCAUUCUCCGUCAUUCCUCCAUCACUCAUUCAAUCAUUCUCCGUCAUUCCUCCGUCAUUCAUUCAAUUAUCCUCCGUCAUUCAUUCAAUCAUUCUCCAUCAUUCAUUCAAUCAUUCCCCGUCAUUCAUUUUCCAUCAUUCCUCCGUUAUUCAUUCAAUCAUUCUCUGUCAUUCAUUCAAGCAUUCUCCGUCAUUCAUUCAAUCAUUCUCCGUCAUUCAUUCAAUCAUUCUCCGUCAUUCAUUCAAUCAUUCUCCGUCAUUCAUUCAAUCAUUCUCCGUCAUUCCUCCAUCAUUCAUUCAAUCAUUCUCCGUCAUUCAUUCAAUCAUUCUCCAUCAUUCCUCCGUCAUUCAUUCUAUCAUUCUCCGUCAUUCAUCCAAUCAUUCUCCAUCAUUCCUCCGUCAUUCAUUCAAUCAUUCUCCGUCAUUCAUUCAAUAAUUCUCCAUCAUUCCUCCAUCACUCAUUCAAUCAUUCUCCGUCAUUCCUCCGUCAUUCAUUCUAUUAUCCUCCGUCAUUCAUUCAAUCAUUCUCCAUCAUUCAUUCAAUCAUUCCCCGUCAUUCAUUCAAUCAUUCCCCAUGAUUCAUUCUCCAUCAUUCCUCCGUUAUUCAUUCAAUCAUUCUCUGUCAUUCAUUCAAUCAUUCUCCGUUAUUCAUUCAAUCAUUCUCCAUCUUUCCUCCGUCAUUCUUUCAAUCAUUCUCUGCCAUUCCCCCUUCAUUCAUUCAUUUUCCAUUAUUCAUUCAAUCAUUCUCCAUCAUUCCUCCAUCAUUCAUUCAAUUAUUCUCCGUCAUUCCUCCGUCAUGCAUUCAAUCAUUCUCCGGCAUGCAUUCAAUCAUUCCUCCGUCAUUUAUUCAAUCAUUCUCCGUCAAUCCUCCGUCAUUCAUUCAAUCAUUCUCCAUCAUUCCUCCGUCAUUCAUUCAAUAAUUCUCCGUCAUUCCUCCGUCAUUCAUUCAAUCAUUCUCCGUCAUUCAUUCAAUCAUUCUCCAUCAUUCCUCCAUCAUUCAUUCAAUCAUUAUCCUUCAUUCCUCCGUCAUUCAUUCACUCAUUCUCCGUCAUUCCUCCGUCAUUCAUUCAAUCAUUCUCCAUCAUUCCUCCAUCAUUCAUUCAAUCAUUCUCAGUCAUUUAUUCAAUCAUUCUCCAUCAUUCCUCCGUCAUUCAUUCAAUCAUUCUCCAUCAUUCCUCCAUCAUUCAUUCAAUCAUUCUCCAUCAUUCAUUCAAUCAUUCUCCAUCAUUCUCCAUCAUUCCUCCGUCAUUCAUUCUAUCAUUCUCCGUCAUUCAUUCAAUAAUUCUCCAUCAUUCCUCCAUCACUCAUUCAAUCAUUCUCCGUCAUUCCUCCAUCAUUCAUUCAAUUAUCCUCCGUCAUUCAUUCAAUCAUUCAUUCAAUCAUUCUCCGUCAUUCAUUCAAUCAUUCUCCGUCAUUCAUUCAAUCAUUCUCCAUCUUUCCUCCGUCAUUCUUUCAAUCAUUCUCUGCCAUUCCCCCGUCAUUCAUUCAUUUUCCAUCAUUCAUUCAAUCAUUCUCCAUCAUUCCUCCAUCAUUCAUUCAAUUAUUCUACGUCAUUCCUCCGUCAUUCAUUCAAUCAUUCUUCGCCAUUCAUUCAAUCAUCCAUCAUUCCUCCGUCAUGCAUUCAAUCAUUCUCCGUCAUGCAUUCAAUCAUUCUCCGUCAUUCCUCCAUCAUUCAUUCAAUCAUUCUCCAUCAUUCCUCCGUCAUUCUUUCAAUCAUUCUCUGCCAUUUCCCCGUCAUUCAUUCAAUCAUUCUCCAUCAUUCCUCCGUCAUUCAUUCAAUCACUCUCCGUCAUUCAUUCAAUCACUCUCCGUCAUUCAUUCAAUCACUCUCCGUCAUUCAUUCAAUCAUUCUCCGUCAUUCAUUCAAUCAUUCUCCGCCAUUCCUCCGCCAUUCAUUCAAUCAUUCUCCGCCAUUCCUCCGCCAUUCAUUCAAUCAUUCUCCGCCAUUCCUCCGUCAUUCAUUCAAUCACUCUCCGUCAUUCAUUCAAUCAUUCUCCGUCAUUCCUCCGUCAUUCAUUCAAUCAUUCUCCGUCAUUCAUUCAAUCAUCCAUCACAUAUCAUGCUGUCUGCACUUCAUUUCCGUUGGUAAGAUUAUUUAAUUGUAAAUUUCUUUCUCUAAUACUUAUUCAUUCAUUAAUCUAUACACUGCACAUUCUGCUGUUAGUCUUUGGUGAGAUUAUUAACCUGUUUUCCUUUCUAUAACAUUAAUAAUACAUUUUUUAUAUUUAUAUGAGUCAUUGUUUCAUUUACAAAAUAUUUUACCAGGAAAGCUACGUUGAGAUUUCUCUCGUUUUCAAGUAUGUCCUGGGUCCACAAAUCAUUGCAUUGUUACAUUAGGGUACAAUAAAAUACAAAAACAAUAUUAAUACACAAUAUAUACAAAAUUUAACAUAAAACAGGCAGGAAAUAUAUAAUCACCCAUAACACGUGCAUUCUGUUUUGAGGUAUGUAGAGAGAUCUCUUAAAGGACUCUAGGCUUGGGGAAGAUUUUAAAUUGUGCGGGAGGUCGUUCCAUAAUUGCGGUGCUCUGUAGGAGAAGGAGGAUUGGGCUGCUUUCUUUUUGUAUUGAGGUAGACUAAAUAAAGUGCUGGUACUGGAUCGGAGGUUGUGUGAGGUGGGAACAGCCGAGGAGAGCAUUCUGCUCAGGUAGGGUGGGAGUUUCCCAGAAAAGCUCUUAAACACAAGGCUGGAAAGAUGAAGGGUGCGUCUGUAUUCCAGCGACAAUAUUCAUCCAG